GUUUAACAAAAACAUGGCCUUUUGAUUAUAAUUUAAGGUUUGACCUGCCCAAUGAUUUUUUAAAUGGCCGCGGUAAUUUGACCGUGCAAAGGUAGCAUAAUCAUUAGUUUUUUAAUUGAAAGCUUGUAUGAAAGGUUGGAUGAGAAAAUAACUGUCUCUUAAAAAAUUUAUUAGAAUUUUAUUUUUAAGUAAAAAAGCUUAAGUGUUUAUAAAAGACGAGAAGACCCUAUAGAGUUUUAUAUUUUUAAAUUUUUUUUAAUUUAGUAUUAUAUUUUAAAAGAAUUUAAAAAUAUUUUGUUGGGGUGAUAAAAAAAUUAAUGUAACUUUUUUUUCAUUAUAACAAUAAUUUUUGAAUUUUUGAUCCUUAAAUUGAGAUUAUAAGAAUAAAUUACCUUAGGGAUAACAGCGUAAUUUUUUUUGAGAGUUCUAAUCGAAAGAAAAGAUUGCGACCUCGAUGUUGGAUUAAAA
rnacentral:rRNA from 1 species